CCCCCCCUACAAGUCAGGCCACAAGUGUCAGACUAGACAAAACUAAGCAAAGAGCUCCUGAGCCAUAACCACCACUAAUGUACCCACAAAUUUGGCACUGGUGUCCAAAAAUAUAGCAUGGUCAAAAACACAACUGCUUCAACAAUGUCCUAAAUUCAUUGUAAGGACCAAAGCAUUUUCAUUCUCCUGUCUUGAAUCAUGACCAGGCCUGAACACUGACUAUAUAUAAGUAGUUUUUGUUUAGGGACUAUAAUAGGACUGGCAAUCCUUUUGCAAAGUGAAACAUCAUGUGUCCAUGACAGACUUACAAUAUAACUUCCCAUAUCUUUAUGACUCUAUAAUACCAUAAAUCUACAGAAAUAGGAUAGAUUUCCAGUGCAUUGUUCAAGACAAAAUUAGUGUGUUUUGACUAACAUAAUGCAUUACAAAUAUAGCCUGGUAGGGCAGAAUAUAAUAUUUCUAUGACAUAUCCCCUUUACUUUACUUUACUAAUAAAUAAUAAUGGCAUAUCAUUUAAAAAUGGGUGGAAAUUGUUAGGAUAUGGUGUAAAUCUAACAAGUUGUCCAGGCAAUAUAUGUGUUCUAUAACUUUAAAUGUAUUCUGUAACUUUAAAUGUAAUGCUGAGUAAUUGUAAUGUUGAGUCAUUGUAAUGACUAAUGACUGUUGACUGAAUGCUGACUGCAAUUAUCAUAAUUGUAUUGUUGAGUCAUUGCACUGCUGACUUCACUUAUCAUAAGUGGAUAAUUACUAGUGUAAACUGUAUAUAAGAAGGAAGCCAAGCUAUAGUCAUUGUUGGACCUGCUCUCAUCAUUGCUUGACUUGUUGAUUGGAACUGUUACUGUCGUGUGUGAAGAUGUGGAUGGAUAUGCUACUAUUGUGAUUUGUUACCAGCAUUGAAUUGCUGUUUAUUACCAACUGCUGUUUGUCUGGAAGCACAGGAACAUGAUUUAAUCUUCCUGUCUGAUGUUUGCAUUUUUAUUCAACAUUUCAUUAAAGGCAUGAAAAAAUAAUUUAAUGAUCUCUCUCAACAAUUCAAGUCAAACCUAUCAUAUUACAGUCUAAAUUGAAAAGGCAAAGAUAAUAGAAAAUUUCAAAGAGAAGGCUAUCUUAUCUCAAGCAAUAUAGAUGGAAAAUAUCCUUUUCAGGGGUGAGGUUUAGGACAGGAAAUUCUAUGGCUUUGAUCAGUUCCAUCAUGAAUGAUUCAUC